GGGGUUGUACUGGUUUCGACGGGGAUUUUGAAGUUUGGGAAGCCAUCCGCAGACUCCGGAGCUGCGUAUCAAGCCGGAAACUAAAUAUAAACGCAGACGAAGAAAACUUCGCAAUCGCUGCCUAAGCUGCAGCGUGUCAGCUUUAAGUUGCUCACAGCUUAAACUCUGGCAUCGACUUAUGUGAGAAACUCUGUUGUCAAAGCUUUGAGACUGCAGAAGACUGAUGAAGCUACUGAUGGCAUAAGCCUGUUUGUGGGCGUAUGUCAGAGGGAAUGUUAAAACAUAAACUGUGAUGGGAGAAGCCUGAAUGAAUGGGUCUUCGGACAGGGGUUCGAUUCCCCUCAGCUCCACCA
rnacentral:tmRNA from 2 species